AAGCCCCGGGGCUCAACCUUUGGAAUUUGCAUUUGAAACUGGCAAAACUAGAGUACUGUAGAGGGGGGGUAGAAUUUUCAGGUGUAGCGGUGAAAUGCGUAGAGAUCUGAAGGAAUACCGGUGGCGAAGGCGGCCCCCUGGACAGAUACUGACACUCAGAUGCGAAAGCGUGGGGAGCAAACAGGAUUAGAUACCCUGGUAGUCCACGCCGUAAACGAUGUCUACUUGGAGGUUGUGGCCUUGAGCCGUGGCUUUCGGAGCUAACGCGUUAAGUAGACCGCCUGGGGAGUACGGUCGCAAGAUUAAAACUCAAAUGAAUUGACGGGGGCCCGCACAAGCGGUGGAGCAUGUGGUUUAAUUCGAUGCAACGCGAAGAACCUUACCUACUCUUGACAUCUACAGAAGCCAGCGGAGACGCAGGUGUGCCCUCGGGAACUGUAAGACAGGUGCUGCAUGGCUGUCGUCAGCUCGUGUUGUGAAAUGUUGGGUUAAGUCCCGCAACGAGCGCAACCCUUAUCCUUGUUUGCCAGCACUUCGGGUGGGAACUCCAGGGAGACUGCCGGUGAUAAACCGGAGGAAGGUGGGGACGACGUCAAGUCAUCAUGGCCCUUACGAGUAGGGCUACACACGUGCUACAAUGGCGCAUACAGAGGGCGGCCAACUUGCGAAAGUGAGCGAAUCCCAAAAAGUGCGUCGUAGUCCGGAUUGGAGUCUGCAACUCGACUCCAUGAAGUCGGAAUCGCUAGUAAUCGUGGAUCAGAAUGCCACGGUGAAUACGUUCCCGGGCCUUGUACACACCGCCCGUCACACCAUGGGAGUGGGCUGCAAAAGAAGUGGGUAGUUUAACCUUCGGGAGGACGCUCACCACUUUGUGGUUCAUGACUGGGGUGAAGUCGUAACAAGGUAACCG
rnacentral:rRNA from 1 species